UCCUGUAUCGAAAGUGACCAUGGUGUGUGUGUGUCACCAGGUCAUUGAUAGUACAGGAACAUGAACCUGAGAGCUUUUUCCCGUGUUUGAAGGAUGACCUGUUCCUCUUGAACCCUGGCGCUCUCAGACA